rnacentral:lncRNA from 1 species
AAGCCCUCCCAAUGGGCAAAGAUACAGGGAUGUGUCUCUGUAAAGGCCAUUGCUAAGAAGCAUGGAGCCCCUUUGCUCCUCCUGCUUGAAAUUGAUGCCCUUUCCUGCUCUAACCACCAGAGGGGAGACAUCAUCUGUUUCAUGUUCUGAUUUACACACAGGCGCUACCAAAGGCAGGAAGAGCAAUGAAGACUCUGCCCUCUCACCUUCUCUCCUCUGCUCCCUUUGGAGGAUGAAUGGGGUACCGCAAAGGAAACCUGGUUUCCAAAGGGUCAUAAAAGUGCUCCUGGAAGUCACCAUGUUUUCAUUCCUUUAAAAUGAUGAUAAACUACUUAUUAAGCCUUGGGCUAUGGACUUGGCACUGAACUGUGUUCUUUGCUAGUAUUUUCUUGUUUAAUUCUCACAACAACUCCAUGAGGUAAAUAUUAAUCUUAUGCCCAGGACAUGAG